UACGGGGGGAGCAAGCGUUGUUCGGAUUUACUGGGCGUAAAGGGCGCGUAGGCGGCCACCGCAAGUCGACUGUGAAAUCUCCGGGCUUAACCCGGAAAGGUCAGCCGAUACUGCGGGGCUAGAGUGCAGAAGGGGCAACUGGAAUUCUCGGUGUAGCGGUGAAAUUCGUAGAUAUUAGGAAGAACACCGGUGGCGAAGGCGGCGAUCUGGGUGGAUACUGACGCUGAGGUGCGAAAGCGUGGGGAGCAAACAGG
rnacentral:rRNA from 1 species